rnacentral:rRNA from 1 species
GGGGCCUCGCGGCUCGCGCGCGGGCACGCUGCCGUGCGUCGAUGUCCGGCGUUCGUCGUCGUGCACUUCUCCCCUAGUAGAACGUCGCGACCCGCUGGGUGUCGGUCUACGGCCCGGGUGCGGUGACUGACGCGUCGCCGGUAAAACGGCACGCGUCAAACCCUCGGUCGCCCGGCCGGCUGCCCGGCGGUACACGCAAGGUAUCAGGCCGCAGCUCUCACGCGCCCUACUCUCACUCUCUCUCUCACGGGGGGGUGGGGGAGUUGCGGUGGCGUCGAGUGUGCGUCGAGGCCGUCGCAAGCGCGCGCCACGGUACACGGAGGUUCACGGACCUAGCGCCGUCACCGGUCCUGGCCCGCUGUUGGCUCGUACGGUUAACCUUCGACAGGC